GAUGAACGCUAGCGGCGGGCCUAAUACAUGCAAGUCGAGGGGCAGCGCGGGUAGCAAUACUUGGCGGCGACCGGCGCACGGGUGCGUAACGCGUAUGCAACCUGCCCUUGUCACGGGGAUAGCCCUCCGAAAGGAGGAUUAAUAUCCGAUGGUACCGAGAGAUGACAUCGUCUUUCGGUUAAAGAUUUAUCGGACAAGGAUGGGCAUGCGUCUGAUUAGCUAGUUGGCGGGGUAACGGCCCACCAAGGCGACGAUCAGUAGGGGUUCUGAGAGGAUGAUCCCCCACACCGGUACUGAGACACGGACCGGACUCCUACGGGAGGCAGCAGUAAGGAAUAUUGGUCAAUGGGCGGGAGCCUGAACCAGCCACGCCGCGUGCAGGAAGAAGGCCCUAUGGGUUGUAAACUGCUUUUGUACGGGAAGAGCGGUCCCUUUGCGAAGGGAAUUGACGGUACCGUAAGAAUAAGCAUCGGCUAACUCCGUGCCAGCCGCCGCAGUAAUAC
rnacentral:rRNA from 1 species